rnacentral:rRNA from 1 species
CCUACGGGAGGCAGCAGUGGGGAAUUUUGGACAAUGGGCGCAGGCCUGAUCCAGCAAUGCCGCGUGCAGGAUGAAGGCCUUCGGGUUGUAAACUGCUUUUGUACGGAACGAAACGGUCUACCCUAAUACGGUGGGCUAAUGACGGUACCGUAAGAAUAAGCACCGGCUAACUACGUGCCAGCAGCCGCGGUAAUACGUAGGGUGCGAGCGUUAAUCGGAAUUACUGGGCGUAAAGCGUGCGCAGGCGGUUAUGUAAGACAGAUGUGAAAUCCCCGGGCUCAACCUGGGACCUGCAUUUGUGACUGCAUAGCUAGAGUACGGUAGAGGGGGAUGGAAUUCCGCGUGUAGCAGUGAAAUGCGUAGAUAUGCGGAGGAACACCGAUGGCGAAGGCAAUCCCCUGGACCUGUACUGACGCUCAUGCACGAAAGCGUGGGGAGCAAACAGGAUUAGAUACCCUGGUAGUCCACGCCCUAAACGAUGUCAACUGGUUGUUGGGUCUUCACUGACUCAGUAACGAAGCUAACGCGUGAAGUUGACCGCCUGGGGAGUACGGCCGCGAAGGUUGAAACGUCAAAGAGUAGUAGCGGNGAGAGAGACGACGACGACGACGACGGAGGGAGGAG